ACACACACACACACACACACAGAAUCUGAAGCAGGCUCCAGACUCUGAGGUGUCAGCACAGAGACGGAUGUGGGGUUCGAACUCAUGAACCAUGAGAUCAUGACCUGAGCUGAAAUGCUUAACCUACUGAGCCACUCAGGUGCCCCCCGGUACCCCGCCCCACUUGUGACUUUCAUCUGAUAGGAUGAGAGGGAAAAAAACAGUUAUCUUCUCAUGGGGUGUGCAGUGUCUGGUCUUGGAGUUGCCUGUGAGCCCCUCCCUCGAGGGCAGGAAUUGAGUCAUUUAAGUAUAUGUUGGAAGGGCCCUUUCCAUCACAGUUAGCUGGGGGCUGGGUGGGAGUGUAGUAGGUGCAAUUAUGUUUUGCUCUUUUUUUCUGGGUAAUUUGUUAGGAGCUGUGGAGAAAGUCUGGGUGAAAGGGAUGGGCUUGAUUUGGUGACACGAUGUUUGAGUCAUUCCUGGCUUUCAAUUAUUCACGCCACCCAGGUCUCUCUUGGCCAGCGGAUAACAAGGAUUUAGUUCAUGAUGAGCAGCUGUCUGCGAGGUGGGUGAGUCAGGCAGGGGACAGGAGGGGAGCUUCAAAAGAAUGGAAAUGGAAUUUGCUUUGUUUUCAGCAUUAUUUGGUGAUUGUCUUUGUCUCAUUGCCAAUUUGGAAAUGUAACUGACACUCCAGGUCCUGAAUGGAUGUACUUAACAUCCUCAUCUCCCUGUAAGAUCUCAUUACCUGUAUGACUAAUGCUUCUUUACCUGGCCAAACGCGAAAUUAUUUAAGACAUCUCAUUUACUUUCUGUUCUCUGUGCUGUUUCACUGGGUUCCCUACCAUGUUUUCUGAGGAACCCAGAUCUGGCUGACUCUGGACAUGUGAAAGCUAAUCAGCAGACAUGCCUGUAUUCCUUUCUUCGCGCCUUCCUUCUGCUUUUCGCCUUUUACUUCUUUUCUUCCUUCUGUAGUGACUUUUGCUAAGUCUGGGAGCAGAGAGACUGAAGUUGGCAGGUUAGUGGACAACAAACAGGAACUUGGUCUCACGAGUUGAGAAGCACAUGGUAUUAUGAAGUCACAGAGGUGGAAGGGAGAUUUGGGCCUGGAUUCUACUUCCUCCCCGGUGCCGGUGCUGGGAGCCCUGUGCCCCAUCAUCAUUGGGGAUGGGGGUGUUCAUGAUCUCCUGAGGCCACUGUUUCAUGGAGGACAAGCCCACCUUAGAAUGAGUGGAGAGAAAGAGUUUUCUCCUUGCACUAGCCCCUCUUUGCUUCUGGACGGCUGCUCCCUAGAAUCAAGGCUUGUCCCUCCCAACUGCUCAUCUUAUGCCUCUUCUCUGGGCUUCCAUAUACUACUUGUGUCAUUUCCCCUGGUCCGUGGAACAGAAGGAAACCAGAAAAGGAAGGAGAACAUGCAAGAGGAGAAGUGUCAAAUCUGAUACAUCACGACCAGGACCGAUUUCAAGGAGCUGACUGCCUGGGUUUUAUGGUUUCAAGUCUUAUAUUCAAGUCUUUUAUCCAUCCAUAAGAUUCCUUUUUUAACUUCAGUGUUUUAUACUUUUGUCCUUAAUCCUAAAGGCAAUGUAUGUUCAUUGUAGAAAUGCACAGAAAGGCAUUAGGAAAAAGAAAAAAAAAAAAAAAAAAAAAAAAAAGGAGACCUCACACCUACUAGGAUGCCUACUAUAAAAAAAAUAACAGAAAAUAACAAGCGUUGGCUAAGCUUUGAAGAUUUGGAAUCCUUGUACACUGUUGAUGGAAAUAUAAAAUGAUGCAGUCACUGUGGAAAAAAGUAUUUGUGGUUCCUCAAAAAAAAAAAAUUAAAAAUUGGAUUGCCAUAUGAUUCAGUAAUUCCACUUCUGGAGACCCAUGUUCCUAGCAGCAUAAAAGCCAAAAGGUGGAAGCCGCCCAAAUGUUGAUUGACAGAUGAGUGAGUGAACACAAUGUGGUCUGUACAUGCAGCAGAGAACCACGCAGCCUUAUAAAGGAAGGAAAUUCUAAAGCAUGCUACAACAUGGAUGAGCCUUGAGGAUGUUACGCUAAGUGAAAGGGGCCAGACACAAAAGGACAUAUACCGUAUGAUUCUACUUUAUGAAGUACCCAGAAUAGUCAAAGUCAUAAAGACAGAAGUAGAAUGGUGGUUACCAGAGGCUUUAGGAAGGAGGGCAGUGUGGGCAAUGGGGCGUUGUUUAAUGGGUACCAAGUUUCAGUUUUGCAAGAUGAAAGCAUUCUGUACAACAGUGUGAAUGUACUUAAUACUACUGACCUGUACACUUAAAAAUGGUUAAGAUGGUUAAGUUCUAUGUUAGGACUAUUUUACCAUACAGGAAAAAAAAGAAAACAAAAGGAAAAAGAAAUUGUUCCAAAUCCUCCCUCCUGGAGAUGACCCCCAUUAUCUUCAGGUACAUUUUCCUCCCAGACACAUUCUCCACCGUGGUGCUUGUGUUUGUCAUUGGGGCAGCUAGUAAUUUUCCUCUAAGGGUUGGUAAGUGGGAGUCCCCUGAGAAGUGCCCAGCCUGGCCUUUUUUGCUUGAGGUGCUGUCCACACUGACAGCAGAGCAGACAGGACAACUGUCCCUCUGCUGGCGGAGUCUGAUUUGAUGGUAUCUGUUCUGAGUGUGAAGUUUUUUUUAUUAAAAAAUUUUUUUUAAUGUUUAUUUAUUUUUGAGAGCCAGAGAGAGACAGAGCAGGAGCGGAGCAGGGUCAGAGAGAGAAGGAGACACAGAAUCCAAAACAAGCUCCGGGCUCUGAGCUGUCAGCACAGAGCCUGAUGUGGGGCUCGAACCCAGAACCAUGAGAUCACGACUUGAGCCGAAGUCAGAUGCUCAACCGACUGAGCCACCCAGGCGCCUCUGGAGUUUUGAUUUUAACACACGAGUGGCUCUGGUGUCUUAGGCAAGUCAUUGUCCCUGGGCCUCAGUUUUCACUGUGUAACAUGUUCUCAGGUUCAGUGAUUUCAAGAACUAGCCAUUUCUACAGUCAGAUUCUUUAUCAUUUGUGCCUGAUAAAGAACCCAGUGGUAAAUCAUUCAAGGUAAAUGGGCAGUUCUGGUUCUAUUAUAAAUCACAAGAUUGAAAUCUGACUGAUGUGUUCCCGAAACAUCAAUGUUGACUUCGAUGAGAUGGCAUAUUUGAGAAUUACAAUCUGAGGACAGAGGCCCUUUUGGAAAUAUCAUCAAACUUGUCAUUAAAAAAAAAGUCUCAGAAGUAGUAUUUUGUGACUCUGCUAUUACUUCGAAGGAAAUAGCCACAUCACUUAUUGAGGUUUUAGUUUUAAUUUUGGGGGUGGAGGCCAGGUUGAAAACAUCUUAGAUUAUAGACUGUAAGUAGUGUGCCAUGAUAGGCUGGCUUGGUUGAGGUUAGGCAUAAAAAGAAACAUCUCAUUAAAGAGGAGGUCACACAAAUCAACCUACUUUGAUGCUUUUCUUUGACUUGCCCCAGAAGGCAACCCUAGGGUGAGAAUGUUCAUCUGGGCUCUGUUCCAUGGAGCAUUUCAGCCACGAGAAGUGGGAGGAGAUGCCCAGAGCUUCUGUGGCAAAGGAGCGAGUGUCUGAAAGGAUGAUCCCCACAUCCCAAUGAUUUCUGAAAUAAAAUCCUCCCCACCCCCAAAUCGUAAACAACCAGCACAUCAGAACGUACUGAAUAGUCUUAGGUUACAUAACAUCAAUUAGAUCAUGCUACAGGGGCCAUGUAUUACAUUUUAACUCGUCACAGAUACAUUACGUUAGCACUUCACAGAUCCACAGGGUCCCAGGCAGCUUUGGGGUAUUGAGUGAAUUGGUGAUUGUGUAGGACUUGACGAAGCCCAGACAAAAACACUUCUUUAGAUUUUUCCGUAUUGUCGUUACACUCUUAUUAGGGGGUGCAGACAUCCUGCAAAUAUUUCUUACAGAAUAAGCUAAAAAUUUAGACAGUGGUUAUUGUAUCGGUUGUACUGAAUGGUUGAUUUAUGGCCGUGAACCAGAUACGACAGAUUUUUAAAACUCCGGGAACCUUUACAUUUUCCAGUGACAGGCAGUGCAAGCACUAUAUUUUUAAUUGGUCCCUUCUUUUAAGUCAGGAGGUGAAAUGUUAUCAUGCAAAUCUCUCCUGAGUUGCAUGGAAACUAAUAAAAUCACAAAGGUUUCUAUUUGUACGCUAUGAACACAGACUGUAAUGAAGCCGAAACAGCGAUCUCUAGGGGAUGAUGCUAUUUAAAUGCUAGGCAGGGCUUUGAAACGAUUCUAAUGGUGAAGAGAGAAACCAGCAAGGGAGUGGGUCCCGUUCUUUCCUCCCUACCUCUCAGUGCCUGUUCACCCACGCUCCUCUUUACUUCCUGACCUCAGAAAGAAUUAACUUAGAACAAAGGCCUCUAAUCUCUAGUACAUCCUGUCUGUUACCUGUUGUAGCAAACAGCAGUGAAUUCUCAGACAUUCUCUCUUAGCCACUUUCUCUUCCUCCUUAGUCAUUGCAUUGAUCCUACACGUAGUGGUGCUUUUGUUUUGGUAAGUCUAUGUGAACUGGAGUAAUUGACUUCUUAGGGGAAAAAAAGGUAACAAACUUUUUUUUUUUUUUGAGUAGUUACUAUGCAUCAAGCACUGUCUUAAGCUCCUUAUGUUUAUUAUGUUAUUUAACUUUGAAAACACUCCUAUGGGGGCACUCAGUUGGUUGAAUGCCCGACUCUUGAAUUCUGGUCACGUCAU